rnacentral:tRNA from 1 species
GCCCAUUUGGCUCAGUGGAUAGAGCAUCAGCCUGUGCACUGAAGGGUCCUGGUUCAAUUCCUGUCAAGGGUA